GGCGAGAUGGCCGAGCGGUCUAAGGCGCCAGAAUCAGGCUCACGUAAGCUAUCUGGUCCGAAAGGGCGCGGGUUCGAAUCCCGCUCUCGUCA
rnacentral:tRNA from 1 species